UAAAAGGAUACAAUAUAAACAAAAUGAAUUUAUGUAUAUAUUUUAAUUCUGGUUCUAUGAACCCAUCUUGGAAUUUCUUGCACUUUCACAGAGGUAUUUGUAUGGACCAAUACCAUGACCUGAUUUCCCUUCUGUACGUCCGCUCCAGAGGGGGUCUCUGGAGGGUCCUGGGCUUAAGAGGGUGCACUUCUACAAGGAACCAGUAUGCCUUGCUGAAGUAAAGAGUAAAUAAUAUUACGUCCCGUGUCCGUGGCCUCAGAUUUGAGGGAGGAUUGCUUGGUAGGUGGAGGAAAUUGACUGGUAACUUGGAUGGGUGGGCAAUGAUGAGCAGGCAUUGAACUGCAAGACAGCUUAUUUUCUGCCCAAACAGAUGGGAACCUGGAACAUAAUUAUUGAAAAAGGAUUAGAUGUAUCUCAAGUAAGAGCCACAGAUUUGGCAGUGCAACAGAAAAGAGAAAUGUAUCAUUGUGGAGGGGGAUGGCAUGAGUACGCAUAAGUUUAUCAGUAACUGUACUCUGAGCAAGAUUGAGAGUUGCUGCAAGGUCACAGAGGACGUCCAUGACCAGAAUAGUCCCCUCUGCAUUUGGAGCUAUAUAAGAGGAUUGGGUCCAAAAUAAUAGAUUAGAUUCUACAAGAACAGGAUAGCUUUUAUAAGCCAUGAGUUGUGCACCUCCUACCCCUGAAAUAGAAAUAUACUGUUUAGUAGUGGGGAGGGGGAGGUCAGUAAUGGAAACAGACGCUUGCGUGUCCAUGAGAACUGUGCAUGGCUGGGCCCUUAUCCAUGCUUGUAAGUAUGGCCUCGGGGGAUUUAUACCUAGCGGGUCAUGGCAUUUAAAAGCCUGGCCAUUUCCUCUUGUGAGUAAGGGUUGGCAGUCAGUUGAGACACCUGGUGGGGCUGUUGUUGGUUACCCAGGGUUAUUCAGUUUGGACACCCGGCUGCCCAAUGUCCGGUCUCUCCACACACAAAACACUGGAAGGGGGGACAGUGGGGGCAGUACCAGGACUAGGUCAAAAAGGCAGUGAAGUACUGCAGGGAUUCAACUGGCUGUGAUUCUGUCCCUGACUAGGCUUUUGGGUUUUGCGCCUGCGUUUUUUUUGGGUAUGCCCAAGAUGCCCACAAUUAUAGCAAAACUGACUCCCGCUUGCUUUGCCGCUUCCCUACUGCUACCAGUGUGCAGAGUUAGGCCUAACUAGAUAUGGUGGUUGCCGGGAUGGCCUCAACCCACCGCCCGCCUCGCUGAUCGGUCUCCGUGGGACACAACGGUACCCUGCUGACAGACCACCGCGGUCUUGCCCAUGAAUUCCCUGACCAGUGGCCGUUCCAGGAGUCACUCGUACUUGGUCAUGGCAAGCCCACUCAACCGCCUUGGCCGAGAGUCCCUUUUUAACAAAAAUCACUUUGACUCCGCAGGGAAUCAAUCACCCUAUGGCAGCCAGCUAUCCAACUGUGGGUUGUGGUGGCAUUACUGCCAUCAGGCCUUGCAGCCUAUCCACCGAUCUCUGUCCCCACGUGCGCUGUGGCACAGAGACCCAACCAUGCAACCAUUGGGUUGCAGUCACAGUCAGCAAAAUAAAAAGGGCCAAAACAAACUAAAAAUGGGGUCCUGCCGUGGUCACCAAACUGUUGAAACCAAUCUAGAGGAACGUCCCCAUACCUGCAUCUAUCAUCAGGGUUUGUUAUUAGCCCCUUUAAAAAAAAUAACUAAGUAGGAUGUGUGGGUGAAAACAACCAAGGUAUUUAUUAAACCAUCAACAGCUCUAAACAAGGUAAACCAAAUGAUUAGGAACACAGGUGUGACGUUAUUGACACAAACUGGGACCGUAUAGAUGAUUGUUGCAACCAAGGUCCUGUAGUGGCACCAAAUAGUGUAUAAAGGAGGUCAAAUAAGGCGUCUAAGACAAGGUUAUGAUCUGCUGGUUAUAAUUAUGCUAUCUGUAUGCAUGUAUCAAUUUUGUAGUUGAAAUUAUGAAUAUUGGUUAUGUACUUGUAUCUCAAUGUGUUUGUCAGCUUCUUGAGAAAGGAAUUUGCAGAUUAAGUGCCCAAUCAAGAAACACUUAACAGACAAUGGACCUUGGGAGACUCCAAUCCACAUGAGAAAUCUUCCUGGGAACAUUCGGGUAGCAUGUGAGCAAUGGCUGCUCUCCCUGUAAAGUCAUGCAUGGACAUGUGACUUGCCCAUGUGACUCCAAACUCCAUCUUGCUGCUCUGAUUUUCCACAGUAAGAACAAAGGGGUGUCCUUCCACCUGGCAGAGGAUAUAAAAGGCCCUGGAAACCCUUCCAUUUUGUCUUCAAUCCUGCUUCUUACCUCUGGAGGAACUUUGCUACAAACUGAAGCUCUGAACAAAGGACUGAAUGACCCAUCCCAGCUGUGGAUGUACUCCAGAGACUUGAUUUGAACCUGCAGGUUAUUCCAUCACUGCUACAAGCCUGAACCAAGAACUUUGCCAUUACUUAAAAACAAAGGAGUGUCCUUCCACGGGCAGAGAAAAGGCCCUGAAAAACCCUCCAUUUUGUCUUCAAUCCUGCUUCUGAGCUCUGGAGGAAUCUUGCUACAAACUGAAGCUCUGAACAAAGGACUGAAUGACCCAUCCCAGCUGUGGAUGUACUCCAGAGACUUGAUUUGAACCUGCAGUUUAUUCCACCAGUGCCUAAACCAAGAACUUUGCCAUUACUGUAUGUAAUUGAUUCCAUUUAACCAAUUCUAGCUCUCAUCUAUAUCUUUUUCCUUUUAUGAAUAAACCUUUAGAUUUUAGAUUCUAAA